CCUACGGGAGGCAGCAGUGGGGAAUAUUGGACAAUGGGCGCAAGCCUGAUCCAGCAAUGCCGCGUGAGUGAAGAAGGUCUUCGGAUUGUAAAGCUCUUUCGACGGGGACGAUGAUGACGGUACCCGUAGAAGAAGCCCCGGCUAACUUCGUGCCAGCAGCCGCGGUAAUACGAAGGGGGCUAGCGUUGCUCGGAAUGACUGGGCGUAAAGGGCGCGUAGGCGGUUCGUACAGUCAGACGUGAAAUUCCCGGGCUCAACCUGGGGGCUGCGUUUGAUACGUGCGGGCUUGAGUCCGGAAGAGGGUGGUGGAAUUCCCAGUGUAGAGGUGAAAUUCGUAGAUAUUGGGAAGAACACCGGUGGCGAAGGCGGCCACCUGGUCCGGUACUGACGCUGAGGCGCGAAAGCGUGGGGAGCAAACAGGAUUAGAUACCCUAGUAGUC
rnacentral:rRNA from 1 species